UAUUAGUUUAUUUACUUUUCUCCUUGGCCU
rnacentral:piRNA from 1 species